GCGGUCACUUCGGCAGCACGUAUACCAAAAUUGGAAUGAUACAGAGAAGAUUAGCAUGCCCCCUGCGCAAGGAUGACAAGUUUUCUUUUACUUUUUUUUCUUUUUUU
ensembl:snRNA U6 U6 spliceosomal RNA